rnacentral:piRNA from 1 species
UAGGCUGCGUGUGUGCUGACAGCUUGCGA